UACGUAGGGACCAAGCGUUGUUCGGAUUUACUGGGCGUAAAGGGCGCGUAGGCGGCGUGGUAAGUCAGCUGUGAAAUCUCCGAGCUUAACUCGGAACGGUCAGCUGAUACUGGCAAUCUUUGAGUCCGGGAGAGGUGAGUGGAACUCCGAGUGUAGGGGUGAAAUUCGUAGAUAUUCGGAAGAACACCAGUGGCGAAGGCGGCUCACUGGCCCGGUACUGACGCUUAAGAGCGAAAGCGUGGGGAGCAAACAGG
rnacentral:rRNA from 1 species